GACCUACGGGAGGCAGCAGUGGGGGAUAUUGCACAAUGGGGGGAACCCUGAUGCAGCGACGCCGCGUGGGUGAAGAAGCGCCUCGGCGCGUAAAGCCCUGUCAGCAGGGAAGAAAAUGACGGUACCUGAAGAAGAAGCCCCGGCUAACUACGUGCCAGCAGCCGCGGUAAUACGGAGGAUGCGAGCGUUAUCCGGAUUUAUUGGGUUUAAAGGGUGCGUAGGCGGACAGUCAAGUCAGCGGUAAAAAUGCGGUGCUCAACGCCGUACAGCCGUGGAAACUGGCAGUCUUGAGUGGUCGA
rnacentral:rRNA from 1 species